rnacentral:tRNA from 2 species
GGGUACUGUGCAAUUCAGUUUAAUUUGAUUAUUUAGUAUUUUACUUGCCUUUUUUGUUUAUCUUAUUG